GAGGGCAGUCAUGCCCCAAGUGCAGUGUUUUUGUGAUUAGGCACAACUGAAGCUUGUUAGCAAUAAUAUGACCCUGUGAUUAAUUGAGCGGCUGACCAAUCAUUACCUCCUCCUCCCUGCUCUUUCUACCCAAUAAAUACAAAGGGCUGUGGAAGCUCAAUGGGCUGCCUUUGCUCAUUAGAAGCAGGGAGCUCUCUUCUUCUUCCCCUGGAUCCUUCCUUUAAAAUAGUUUCUUUUGUCUUAAGUUUUCAUUUCUACGUUUGUCCCUUCAUUCAGUCUCUUAAAUGACGGUCUCAAGCAGUAACAGUAGUAAUUGCUGUAAUGACGGUCUCAAGUAGUAACCAGGGCACUCUGCCACAAGUGGCACCUGAACAGGGACUAACAGGGACUAUCAAGAACAAACGGAGACCUGAAGAGACCUGAAGGGAACUGAAGAGGUCUGCAGGGACAAAUAGAGAUAAGUAGGGAUAAAUAGAGAUAAAUAGAGACAAAUAGAGAUAGGUAAGGAAUGACAGGGACUUGCAGGAAGUAACAGGGACCAUAGGGACAGAUAGGGAUAGAUAAAGACUAGCAAAGACUAGCCGAGAUUAGCAAAGACCAGCAAGGACUAGCAGAGACUAGCAAAGACUAGCAGAAACUUGCAGGGACAGGCAGAGACAGAUAGGGACAGAUAGGGUCCUACAGGGACUUGAACGAGGAAGAUCUGCUGGAAAAGAAAAGAACUACAACCAACCAGAUGAACAAGAAACCCUGUUACAAGUCUGCUGGCAGCAACAUAAGGUGUGUACUACCAUGGAAUGGGAGAUUGGAGGGACACAUGGAUCCCAACCGUGGGCCUGGUUCCCCCAGUAUGAGCUGAAUACGAAGACAGAACAAACCACCAACCGGCAAUUGAAGGAUGAUGCCCAUUCUAUUUCCUAGGAAGGGAUAAGUUUUAAGGCCUUAUAAAAAGGUAAAGUUACUAAUUGACUCCCUUUCUAUUUUACUUUUUUUUUUUUUUUUUUGGUAAUCUAUCUUAAAGACUUGGGGAAAAGUGAACAUGAGCAAAUAAUAAAUAUAAAAAAAGAAAAACAUCUAUUUAAGAUCACUUCUAAUUUCUCCCACGCUAAAAGAAAAAAAAUCUUACUACACCUUAUACUUUCCGAGUUAUUGCCCCAUUUUAAAAUUUCCCUUUGUAGCAAAACUCUUGAUCAGAUUUCCUACCCCACCAAUACCCCUCAUGAAUAUAUGAUGCAAAAUUUAAAAAUAUCCAUCAAAUGCAGAAAUAUAUUUUUAAAAGAAUAUGUCAUAACCAAGUAGAAUUUACAUUAGAAAAUAAAUUAAUACAUUUUAUUGCAUUGACAGAAUAAAGAAGAGGAAGGCUCUAACAAAAUACAGGGACCAUUCAUGAUAAAAAUUCACAAAUUAAGAAUGGAAGAGAAGCUCCUCAUUCAGAUAAAGGGCAUCUGCGAAAACCUGUAACUUACACUAUAUUUAUUGGCAAAAUACUGGAUAUUAUCCUUUGUCCCUCAACUUCAGGAAUCCAGUCAGUGUGAUAAAGACCAAAAAAGCAUAAAAUGGAUAAAGAUUGGAAUGGAAGUAUUAAGUCUUUAUUCACAGAAAUUUAAAAGUAUAUAAAUUUAUCAUAUAGAUGUUAUCUAUGAAAUCUCAAACAACCAAAAAACACUAAAUAUAAGUAAAUUUAGCAAGGUUGUAGAAUAUGAAGUCAAUGUAGAAAAAAAGCUGUGCUUGUGUAUACUAGAAUGACUAAUUGAAAGUAAAAUUUAAAAAUAAUUUACAAUAAAAAAUUACAAAUAUUUUAACAGAUAUUAAUGAAGACCUAUAUAAACAAACAUACCAUGUUUAGGAAUUAGUAGAAUUGAUAUUGAAACAAUGUCAAUUCUCCCCAAAUUCUGUAUAGAUUCAAUACCAUUCUGACCAAAACCCCAGUAAGUUUACUUAUACAAAUUUACAAGAUAAAUCUAAAAUAUUUAAGAAACCCCAAAGAACUUUAGGUAGCCAAAUAUGAUUUUUAAAAUAAAAACAAGGUUAGAGCACUAAUACAACCUGGUUUCAAAACUUGUUAUAAUAUUACAGUAAUCAAAAUAGCAUGGCAUUGGCAUAAGGAUGGAAAAAUAGAUCAGUGAAACAGAAUAGAGUUCCAGAAAUAGAUCACCACAUUUAGAGUCAGUGGGGAAAACAGAAUAUUUUCAACAAAUGGUGGUGGGACAAGUGACCAGAAUGCAAAUUACUUCAAUUUAUAAUAGAAAUUAAUUCAAGACAGAUAAUAGACCUAAUGGUAAAAGCUAAAACUGUAAAUCUAUAAGAAAUCAUGGAAGGAUAUGUUCACAAUCUUAGGGGAGGUAAUGAUUCUUAGAGAGUACAUAAAUAUCACUAAUCAUAAAAUAAAAAAAUAAUAAAUUAGACCUCAUCAAAAUUAAAAAUGUCCAUGCUUCUAAAAAAAGUGUUAAGAAAAGGAAAAUUCAAGCCACAAACAUACACACGCACAUAUAACACACAUCCAGAAAACACAAAAAAUCAUACGAGUUAAUAAAAGUCUAAUUUUUAAAAUUGGGAACAUACUAUAAUAAAAAAUACAUAAAACACAUAUUUAAAAGUGUUCAGCAUCUUUAAUCAUCAGGAAAAUGCAAAUUAAAGCUACAAUGAUAAUAUUGUUUCCCACCCACUAGUAUAGAUAGCUAAAUUUUAAAAAGCUGAAAACACCAAAUGUUGGUAAGGAUAUGGAGACACUGAAACUCCUGUAACAUUGCUGGUGGAAUUAUAAAAUGGUACCAAUAUUUUGGAAAACUGCUUGGCAAUUUCUAAUAAAGUUAAACAUAUGCGUACUGUAUUAGGGUUCUCCAGAGGGACAGAACUAAAAGGAUAUAUAUAUAUAUGAAAGGGAGUCUAUUAGGGAGAAUUGGCUUACUUGAUCACAAGGUGAAGUCCCAUGAUAGGCCGUCUGCAAGCUGAGGAAGAAAGAAGCCAAUAGUGACUCAGUCAAAGUCCAAAAUCUUCAAAGGUAGGGAAGCUGACGAUGCAGCCUUCAGUCUGUGGCCAAAGGCCGGAAAGCCCCCAGCAAACCACUAGUGUAAGUCUAAGAGUCCAAAGGCCAAAGAAGCUGGAGUCUGAUGUCUGAAGGCAGGAGGGAGAGAUGGAUGGAUGCAUCCAGCAGGGGAGAAAGGUGAAAGUCAGAAGGCUCAUCAAGCCAGCCUAUCCCACCUUCUUCCGCCUACUGUGUUCUGGCUGUGCUGGCAGCAGAUUGGAUGGUGCCCACCCACAUUGAGGGUAGGUCUUCCUUUCUCAGUCCACUGACUCAACUGUCAAUCUCCUCUGGCAACACCUUCACAGACACACCCAGAAACAAUACUUUAUCAGCUAUCUAAGCAUCCUUCAAUCCAAUAAAGUUGACACCUUUAUUAACCAUCACACCUACCCUAUAAGUGAGCAUAUUUGCUCCUGGGUAUUUUUUCUCAAGAAAUAUGAAAACAAAUGUUGACACAAAGACUUGUAUAAAAUGUUUUUAUGCCAGGCAUGGUGGCUCUUGCCUGUAAUCCCAGCACUUUGGGAGGCCAAGGAGGAAGGAUCACUUGAGUCCAGGAAUUCAAGACCAGCCUGAGCAAGACAGUAAGACCUUGUCUCUACAAAAAAAAAUAAAAAUUGAGGUGGAAGGAUCACUUGAGCCCAGGAGGUCAAGGCUGCAAUGAGCCAUGAUCACACAACUGCACUCCUGCCUAGGUGACAGGAGUGAGACUCUGUAAAAAAACAAAACAAACAAAAAAAAUUGUAGUGGCUUUAUCUUUAGUAGCCAAAACAGCCCAAGUGUCCAUUAGCAGGACAGGCAUAUAUAUAUAUAUUGUGGUACCAAAAUAGGAACAAAAAGAGAGACAAACUGUAGAGAAAACAAUAGGACAGGUUUUUAAAAAUAGUUCAUAUGAAAGAAGCCAGAUACAAAACAGUACAUACUAUAUUUUAUUUACAGAAAGUUCAUGUAUAAUCCAAACUAGUCUAUAGGGAUAAAAAUCAGAACAGUGGUUGCCUGUGGAAGUGGUGUGUACAGAAAACCUUAGCUAGAGAUGGAAAUGUUCUAUAUUUGGAUGGAGAUGCUGUUUACCUGUGUGUGUUCAUUUGUCAAGACUUAUUUAAUUUUACAUUUAAGAUUUACGCAUUUUGAUGUAGGUAAAUUUGAUCUUAAUAAAUUAUUUAAAAAUAUAAAAUAUCCUUGCUUACUAGUCAAAAGUCAUUGCUGAAAUAACAUUACCUGGUGUCAGUAAGAAAUAGAUGAGUUCUCAAACACAGAAUAUUGUUGAGGAAUUUUGUGAUAUUUGAAAGCCUAAGGUCUCUUAUUCGUUGGCUGGCCAUAGCACAAUCUUGAAAAAGAAAUGUUGUGUCUGUACAUAUUUAAUUAUGGACACCACUAUAUGGCUACUAAAGAACAACCCACCUUUGCCCAAAUUACAUUACCAGGUUAUCUGGGAUCAAAGGUAUAGAUGUGGAAUUCAAGGUCUUAAACUAGAAUGAAGUAUGGGGAAGAAAGUGGAAAAAGCAUUAAAUGUGUGGUCUGUGUGCUAUGUGUUUUCUGAUGACUAAGUCCGAAUUUUCUAGGAAAUACAAAGCAUAUUUCAAUUUUCUGAGUAUUAUGUGUUUACAGAUAUCUAUUUUUCUUAGCAUUUCCAGUAAACAAAUGGGAAUAUAUAGUUAAAUUUGUUCCAUAGGUACAAAUAUUGAAGGAAAGGGAAAUUAAAUUUGUAACUACUUGAUACCAGUGUGACUAGCUUAAAAAGAAACAUUUUUAUCAGUCAGUUGCCUGGAUAUCAUGACUGUUUAAAAUCAGACAACUAAAAAAUUAUUUUAAUUAAUUUACCAUCUUUUAGAAUAUAAGUCACAAUUUUUUAUCCCAACGCUAAAAGAUCAGGUAACAGAAGAGAAAUUAAAACCAACCUCUCAAUUUCUGGUCUGAAUAUUCCUUCCAGUAAAUGAUAGCUCCUUACAAAUACAGAGGACAAAAUAAAAGUGACUUAAUUAUAAAAACACAGUGACACAAAGUGAACCGGGUUCUAUAAAUUACCAUGGAAAGUGGUGAGCCAACGAUUUGGCAGAACAAAACCCUGAGGAUAUGCAAACAAAAGGGACUAUGGAAUUUGCAAUUGCAGAUUAAAAUUGAAGAAGAAAACAUUUGAGUUGCAAAUACCGUAUUAAAAGUGGACACUGCUUAUGACUGCUGUAUGCAACAGUUUUUCAGGCCCGAGGUGAUAAAUAAAAAAUUGUUUGCUCUAUUUAACCAUUGAAUGCUUGGACUACUUUUGUAUCCUUAAGAUGUGAAGUGUUCUUCACUAGAAGUAAACAUUAAGGUCAUUUACCAUUGAUUGCUUAAGGCUAGUAAAUACGUUUAAGGAGUUUUAAAGCUUUACUUUGGGAGAAGUCAGGACCAGACAGCUUAAUAAAGCCACUCUGUGUGGGACCAUGACUAAGUUUUGUUGUGUUUACAGACAUUUUGUCACAGAAUCAAAGUUAACUUUUUUUUUUAAUUCUCUUUGCCACAGAGGAACCCAGACAUGCUCUAUUUGCAAACCGACUGCAUGAAACAAAAAGCACGGUAAUUCUGAAGCUGUUGGCUUGGAUGAAAUGAGAAUGUAAUUAAAAAGAAAAAGGUUAGCAAAAGAACAUGCUGGGAAUUGAAAAUAAAAAUCUGAAAUGAUGUCCCAGCCUGCCCUUAAGGUCUUUUCCACCAUGUAGAGAGCUACCUCAAAUGCUCUACUUGUCCCAGAGUCUAUGUUCUUUCACUACUAUUGCCUAUAUCUGUGUUUUCUGCUUUCAAUAAUCUAUUGAAAUAAUCAAAAUUAAUUACAUUCAGCAUUUUUUCUGUAUUACUCUGAUUCUAAUAAUUACCUCAAAUUUAUUUGUGCAUUUCUAUACUAGAAAGAAAAAAUAAUUUUUAGAGUUUUACUAUAUCUUCCCCUUAAUUCUAAGUUGCUUGUCACUAAUUCCUUUCCCAACACUAUGUUAUUUCCACCAAGAACAUUACCAAUAUCUUCAGGAAAAUUCCACCCCAUAUUUUAAGCCAGAUUGAUUAUUGGGAAUAUAAAUACAUUUAAGAAGGAAAGUCUUUUUGACUGUGUUUCUCCACAGACCAAUAGUAUACAAAACACAGAAGGCUUUUAAGCACAUUUCAUAGGGAUCACUGACUUAGAACAGAAGGAACCAUUUCGUGAAACACUCUCAUUUUGCACAUAAAGGAGCUGUGGCCCACAGAGGAAUAUGAUUUACUGAGAGUGACCCAGUUAGUGGCCAUAAACCAAAAGCCCCAAGAUGCUAAAUGUUUGUUAUGAAGAGUAAAAAUCCUCCCAGUUUAUAAGAAGUAACUUCAUCCUUCCAUUUUCUAUUUCCACGAUGACUCCCCUGGCUUAAAUUUUAAUCUCUAUUUUGGAUGACUCCAAAAUCUCAUUCUUCUAAAUUAAUUAUCUAAUACCACAAUGUUGCACUUAUCUUCCUACAAAUCUACUUUCAUCUGCCUUGACAAAGCCAACCCUAAUUUUCUCUAGUCCUCAUUAGAAAUUAUUGCAACAAAAAUUCACAUCCAGUCUGAAGUUUGGGAGCCAGAAAAGAAUUUUCCCAUUAAGAUGAGACAGUAUCAAUUAUUAAGCAGAGGAAGACACAAGAGGGAAAGCAGCUUUCACAUGAAAAAAAAAGAACUCUGAUUUUCUGACACAUUUUGUCAUUGCAGUCAAACUUUCAGAGUUAGAACUAGAGACCUAGAUAUUAGCUAACCCAGCAUUUUCCAAGUAUUCCUCGGAACUCUAGAGGCACAGCAUAGUACUGGUAAUGAUUUUGUGGCAGGAUAGAUUAAGGAAACCUCACAGUUAUACCAAGUUAAAUUCAUUUAUUUCAUGUAAAAUUCUGAUAGCCUUUUAUGCUACUAGGCCUAGUGAUACUCCAAAAUUAUUGGCCAUAUAUCUGAAAUUUAUUUCAGCAAGAAACCCUUUAAAGAGCAUCCCGCAGAGUUAGUGUUUUGAGGGAUAUCAUUGGGGAAAAUGCUGAUCUAGACCAAUUCAACAAAUUGUAACUUAGUUAACACCAGAGUCAAAACAAAAACCAAGUCUACUCAUGUCUGUCUUAGGCCCUUUUGGUCACAAAAACACGUUCAAACCACUUCAAUUAAGAAAAUGGUGAGAGGGGAAAAGACAAGCAGGGAACCUUAUCCCAGGUGGGCUGAUCACAGGACUUCCAAGGCUGUCCCUUAGAAGAGUCACGAUAAUGGCAUCUCUAGCACAAAACUCAAAUUUAGUUUUAAUUCUUAGUCGAAUAAUAAUACAGUAAAAUUUAUUGCAUGCAUAAGGAUAAUACAUUAAAACUACUUAAAUUACAUUUUAGGGCCGGGCGCGGUGGCUCACGCCUGUAAUCCCAGCACUUUGGGAGGCCGAGGCGGGUGGAUCACGAGGUCAGGA
rnacentral:lncRNA from 10 species